rnacentral:misc_RNA from 1 species
GAUGAAGAACGCAGUGAAAUGCGAUAAGUAAUGUGAAUUGCAGAAUUCAGUGAAUCAUCGAAUCUUUGAACGCACAUUGCGCCCGCCAGUAUUCUGGCGGGCAUGCCUGUUCGAGCGUCAUUACAACCCUCAGGCCCCCGGGCCUGGCGUUGGGGAUCGGCGGAAGCCCCCUGCGGGCACAACGCCGUCCCCGAAAUACAGUGGCGGUCCCGCCGCAGCUUCCAUUGCGUAGUAGCUAACACCUCGCAACUGGAGAGCGGCGCGGCCACGCCGUAAAACACCCAACUUCUGAAUGUUGACCUCGAAUCAGGUAGGAAUACCCGCUGAACUUAAGCAUAUCAAUAAGCGGAGGA